GAUGAACGCUGGCGGCGUGCCUAAUACAUGCAAGUCGAGCGAACAGACGAGGAGCUUGCUCCUCUGACGUUAGCGGCGGACGGGUGAGUAACACGUGGAUAACCUACCUAUAAGACUGGGAUAACUUCGGGAAACCGGAGCUAAUACCGGAUAAUAUAUUGAACCGCAUGGUUCAAUAGUGAAAGACGGUGUUGCUGUCACUUAUAGAUGGAUCCGCGCCGCAUUAGCUAGUUGGUAAGGUAACGGCUUACCAAGGCAACGAUGCGUAGCCGACCUGAGAGGGUGAUCGGCCACACUGGAACUGAGACACGGUCCAGACUCCUACGGGAGGCAGCAGUAGGGAAUCUUCCGCAAUGGGCGAAAGCCUGACGGAGCGACGCCGCGUGAGUGAUGAAGGUCUUCGGAUCGUAAAACUCUGUUAUUAGGGAAGAACAAAUGUGUAAGGAACUAUGCACGUCUUGACGAUACCUAAUCAGAAAGCCACGGCUACUACGUGCCAGCCGCCGCCGUAA
rnacentral:rRNA from 1 species